CACGUAGGGUGCGAGCGUUGUCCGGAAUUAUUGGGCGUAAAGAGCUCGUAGGCGGUGUGUCGCGUCGGCCGUGAAAACCUGCAGCUUAACUGUGGCUUGCGGUCGAUACGGGCAUCACUGGAGUUCGGCAGGGAGACUGGAAUUCCUGGUGUAGCGGUGAAAUGCGCAGAUAUCAGGAGGAACACCGGUGGCGAAGGCGGGUC
rnacentral:rRNA from 1 species